AAGUCGUAACAAGGUUUCCAUAGGUGAACCUGCGGAAGGAUCAUUACAGAGAACUGAUCUUCGGAUCAAUCUCCCACCCUAUGUUUACUUUACAUUGUUGCUUUGGCAGACCCGUCUUCGGGCCGCCGGCUUCGGCUGGUCAGUGUCUGCCAAAGACCUUUAAACUCAUGUUAUAAUUAUUGUCUGAGAACUAUUUAAUAGUUAAAA
rnacentral:misc_RNA from 1 species